rnacentral:tRNA from 1 species
GGAGAGAUGCGAGAGUGGUUUAAUCGGCAGUCCUGGAAAGACUGUGUGGGGGUAACCCUACCGGGAGUUCGAAUCUCCCUCUCUCCG